CGAGCGAUACGAGAGAUAUUCUUUCGUGGGUAAGCAGCAAACCGUAGCUUUUGUAUCGAAAUUUUCUCAAGAAAAUUUGUCACUCGAGUAUUACCGACUCAAGUCAAAAAUUGAACUCUUACAACGAAACAAUAGUCAUUAUAUGGGAGAAGAUUUGGAUUCAUUGAGCGUUAAAGAACUGCAAAGCUUGGAACAACAAAUGGACACAGCACUGAAACAUGUUCGAUCCAGAAAAAACCAACUAAUAUGUGAUUCCAUCUCUA